ACAAACUUGGUCAUUUAGAGGAAGUAAAAGUCGUAACAAGGUUUCCGUAGGUGAACCUGCGGAAGGAUCAUUAGUGAAAUUUGGGCGUCUCUUCCACAUGAGAGCCCGUCUUCCACAUUUAACCCUGUGCACUUGGCGCUAGCCUCGUGCGCUUGUCAGUCGGGCUCAGUUUUUUCGGAAGCCGAGCCGGGCGAAAACCCUUUUUUAACGCAAGUUGAUGAAUGUAACUUAAAAUCUAAACCAAAUAAAACUUUCAACAACGGAUCUCUUGGCUCUCACAUCGAUGAAGAACGCAGC
rnacentral:misc_RNA from 1 species